rnacentral:rRNA from 1 species
GACGAGCUCUCCAAACGUUAUUCGGAAUCACUGGGCUUAAAGAGUUCGUAGGCGGCCUGGUAGGUGAGGUGUGAAAUCCCCCGGCUCAACCGGGGAACUGCGCUUCAAACCGCCGGGCUUGAGGGAGGCAGAGGUGGGCGGAAUAGAUGGUGGAGCGGUGAAAUGCGUUGAUAUCAUCUGGAACACCGGUGGCGAAAGCGGCACACUGGGUCUUUUCUGACGCUGAGGAACGAAAGCUAGGGUAGCGAACGGG